AACGUAGGAGACAAACGUUAUCCGGAGUUACUGGGCGUAAAGGGCGCGUAGGUGGCCCGGUCAGUUCGUGGUGAAAGCGCGGGGCUCAACUCCGCGUCGGCCAUGAAUACUGCUGGGCUGGAGCACUGUAGAGGCAGGCGGAAUUCCGGGUGUAGCGGUGGAAUGCGUAGAGAUCCGGAAGAACACCGGUGGCGAAGGCGGCCUGCUGGGCAGUGGCUGCACUGAGGCGCGACAGCGUGGGGAGCA
rnacentral:rRNA from 1 species